GACGAACCGAGCGAACGUUAUUCGGAAUCACUGGGCUUAAAGGGCGCGUAGGCGGACGAUCAAGUCAGGGGUGAAAGCCCCCGGCUCAACCGGGGAACAGCAUCUGAUACUGGCAGACUCGAGGAUGGUAGGGGUGAGUGGAACUCCAGGUGGAGCGGUGAAAUGCGUAGAUAUCUGGAGGAACACCGGUGGCGAAAGCGGCUCACUGGACCAUAACUGACGCUGAGGUGCGAAAGCUAGGGUAGCAAACGGG
rnacentral:rRNA from 1 species